rnacentral:tRNA from 1 species
AUUUGUAUAGUUUAAGUAAAAACAUUACAUUUUCAAUGUAAAAAUAAAUUACCCUAUUUUAUAAAUA